rnacentral:rRNA from 1 species
UACGGAGGAUGCGAGCGUUAUCCGGAUUUAUUGGGUUUAAAGGGUGCGUAGGCGGAUCGCUAAGUCAGUGGUCAAAUUGAGGGGCUCAACCCCUUCCCGCCAUUGAAACUGGCGAUCUUGAGUGGAAGAGAAGUAUGCGGAAUGCGUGGUGUAGCGGUGAAAUGCAUAGAUGUCACGCAGAACCCCGAUUGCGAAGGCAGCAUGCCGGCUUCCUACUGACGCUGAAGCACGAAAGCGUGGGGAUCGAACAGG